rnacentral:rRNA from 1 species
GUGAGGAAUAUUGGUCAAUGGACGAGAGUCUGAACCAGCCAAGUCGCGUGAAGGAAGAAGGAUCUAUGGUUCGUAAACUUCUUUUGCAGGGGAAUAAAGUGCGGGACGUGUCCUGUUUUGUAUGUACCCUGAGAAUAAGGAUCGGCUAACUCCGUGCCAGCAGCCGCGGUAAUACGGAGGAUCCGAGCGUUAUCCGGAUUUAUUGGGUUUAAAGGGUGCGUAGGUAGUUUGAUAAGUCAGCGGUGAAAGUUUGAAGCUUAACUGUAAAAAUGCCGUUGAAACUGUCGGGCUUGAGUGUAAAUGAGGUAGGCGGAAUGCGUGGUGUAGCGGUGAAAUGCAUAGAUAUCACGCAGAACUCCGAUUGCGAAGGCAGCUUACUAAGCUACAACUGACACUGAAGCACGAAAGCGUGGGGAUCAAACAGGAUUAGAUACCCCGGUAGUCC